rnacentral:rRNA from 1 species
AUACGGAGGAUCCGAGCGUUAUCCGGAUUUACUGGGCGUAAAGGGCGUGUAGGCGGUCUUGCAAGUCAGAAGUGAAAUUCCUGAGCUCAACUCGGGCGCUGCUUCUGAAACUGCAGGACUUGAGUGCUGGAGGGGAUAGCGGAAUUCCUAGUGGAGCGGUAAAAUGCGCAGAUAUUAGGAAGAACACCGAUGGCGAAGGCAGCCUGCUGGGGACUUAUCGACGCUGAGGCUCGAAAGUGCGGGUAGCAAACAGGAUUAGAUACCCUGGUAGUCCGCACCGUAAACGAUGCAUACUGGGUGUCCGGGGGUUCCCCCGGGUACCGUAGCCAACGCGUUAAGUAUGCCGCCUGGGGAGUACGUACGCAAGUAUGAAACUCAAAUGAAUUGACGGGG